CAACUCUUACUUGCGUGCAAGCAGGAGAGGGCGGGGAUCCCUCAGCUGGGAAGGGAGGCUUCCCGUUGCCUAACUGAGAGAUCCCUGCCCCCUCCUGCUUGCACACAAGCUCCGAUAGGCAGCGUGAAGCCUCCCUUCCCAGCUGAGAGAUCCCCGCCCCACUCCUGCUUGCACGCAAGUAGGAGUUG
rnacentral:miRNA from 1 species